rnacentral:rRNA from 1 species
CAACCUGGUGAAAACCAGGCUAAUACCGCAUACGCCCCCUGGUUUAAUCACUGGGGGGGAAAGCGGGGGACCUUCGGGCCUCGCACUAUUGGAUGAGCCUAUGUCUGAUUAGCUAGUUGGUAGGGUAAAAGCCUACCAAGGCGACGAUCAGUAGCUGGUCUGAGAGGAUGAUCAGCCACACUGGGACUGAGACACGGCCCAGACUCCUACGGGAGGCAGCAGUGGGGAAUAUUGGACAAUGGGCGCAAGCCUGAUCCAGCAAUGCCGCGUGAGUGAAGAAGGCCUGAGGGUUGUAAAGCACUUUCAAUUGUGAAGAAAAGUUUAAGGCUAAUAACCUUAAACCGUGACGUUAACUUUAGAAGAAGCACCGGCUAACUCCGUGCCAGCAGCCGCGGUAAUACGGAGGGUGCGAGCGUUAAUCGGAAUUACUGGGCGUAAAGCGUGCGUAGGUGGCUUGGUAAGUCGGAUGUGAAAGCCCUG